UUUUAUAGCAGUUUGGUUUUAAAUUUGACAGUUCUGUUUUCUCAAGUCAAAAAUCUUAACCUUACUUUUACAAGUGAUUAGGAUUAUUAUUAUUAUUUUAUUUACAUGUAAAUUGAAACAAUAAAUAUUGUGCUGUGUCAUAAUUUCAAACUCAUUAUGUUGCAGUCUUUUCCAGUUGAUAAAAUUGCAAUUCAAAAACUUUUAGAUUUGCACUGUAUGGAUGGCACAGGAAGAGAACAAGAACAUGAAACAUCUUAUUAUGAAUGUAUAUGUAUGUGAUCCUCAAAAAAUUAUUUUACAAAACAAGAUAGAGAAAGAGCUUUAAAAUCCCAAGGAUCCUGCAAAAUGUUUAUUUGGUGUACUAGUCGAAUAAUAGUAUCUAAAAAUAUUGAAACUAUUUUAAAACACAUUACGGGCAUGAGGAUGAUAUAGAGCACUUACAUAAAUACCAAAAUCAGAUAAAUAUCUCUUCAAAGUUUAUUUUGAGACUCUUCAAAAAUUAAACUUCAGACUGUUCAGGAUAGCAUAAUAGCAUAGGAGGCGAAUUAAAAAGAAUUGAUUUACUUACAAGAAAAGAUAUCACAAACAUUAAACUCUCUUAUGGCAUUGAUUUGAAAGAUGGGUAUAUGUACAAUGAUGAUGCAACCAGUGUUUAUUUUUGGGUUGAAUGCUUACAGACUCAUGUCCAAUAUUAUUUUACAAACAACAGGGCAUACUAAUGGAUAUUCAUUCUGAAUUUAACAUUUAUGAUUUUUGUCUUAUUUCCUUAAUAUUGUGCCAAAAGGAAAUGUUAAUUAAGUUUGGUAAAUCCUUUAUAGCAAUCGAUGGAACUCAUGGGCUCAAUUUCUAUGACUUUGAACUUAUUGACAGUAUUAGUAAAAGAUGAAUUUGGGAAUGGAUUUUGUACUGCUUUCUUAUUUUCAAAUAGAAAAGAUACCUACUUUAAUUUACCAAUUUUUUUAAAUACAUGUCUGUGUUGGUAUUAUAUGUAUAGUCAAAUGUUUUCAUAUCAGGCAUAAGCGAUACCUUUUACAAUGCCUCGUCAAAUGUAAUGGGUAUUGCUCCUAAUAGACUGUUAAGUGUCUGGCACAUAGAUAGGGCAUGGUAAGUAAAUCUUAAUAAAAUAUCUGAUUCUGAAAAAAAUACUAUUAUGUAUACAAGAUGUAUUAAUGAUGGUUUAGAGAGUAUUAAUAGCUUUUUGGGUAGACUUCUAAGUGAUGUAGAUACAUACAAUUUUAGUAAGUAUUUCCAGUAGAACUACUGCAAUAACAUCCAACAAUGGGCCUAUUGUUAUAGGAAGGGGUUGUGGAAUUAAUACCAAUAUGACCAUUCAAAAUUUUCAUAAAAUUUUGGAUAAAAGGGUAUCCAUUAGUUGUUAUCAGUUAAGUUUAAAACUUGGCACUCAUGGAGAGCUAUACCAUAAUAUAUAAUAGGUAUAUCUCAUAAUAUUACAUCUCAUAUUGUUCACUACAGUAGUAAUGAGUGAGCCUGCAUACACAGAACCAUAAUAAUAUAUUAUAGUUCGUGUAUGCAGGCUCAGUUUGGUGCCCAUCUCGAACAAGCUCCACUUGGCUGGUACCACAUACUUAAAUCAUUUAUUUAGUUACACAGUACUACUCACAUACCUUAUGUGUCGUCAGUACCUUCCGUAAAACCUUCGUGAUGCUACCCAUACGUCAUGGCCACUGAAUGUGUUAAAGCUUGUUAAUGUAGGAGAGUUAUACUAAAAUAUAUAUCUUAUAUUAUAUUGCCUUAAAUAGAAAAAAUAUCUUAUUUAAAUUGUAUCCAUGUAAGUUUUGAUUUAAUGAAAUAAACCAUUUAA
rnacentral:lncRNA from 1 species